UACGAAGGGUCCAAGCGUUAUCCGGAUUUAUUGGGUUUAAAGGGUGCGUAGGCGGCUUAUUAAGUCAGUGGUGAAAGCCUUCAGCUCAACUGAAGAACUGCCAUUGAUACUGAUGAGCUUGAAUAUACUUGAGGUUGGCGGAAUGUGUCAUGUAGCGGUGAAAUGCUUAGAUAUGACACAGAACACCGAUUGCGAAGGCAGCUAGCUAAAGUAUGAUUGACGCUGAUGCACGAAAGCGUGGGGAGCAA
rnacentral:rRNA from 1 species